AAUUGAAAAAUUAAUAAAAAGUAAUCAGCCUCACCCUUUAGUUUAUUUCCUAGUGUCUUUUACUUUUUUACCAAAAUAUUCUCUCCUUUCCUAAAACCCUAACUUGAGCCUCCCCAUGGGAAAGAAAAAAUUGAAGCAAGCGACUUCUUUCUCCUGAAACCUUUACUCUGGGAUGCGAACCCCUCGGCCCCUGACCUCUUAUCUCUCUCUCUCUCUUCGAAAAUCCAGAUCUAGAGUUGAAUAUGGAAGAAGAAAUGGUGCAAGCGAUUUGGCUUCAAAAAUUUAAAAAGAACGAUCCGUUCCUUUCCUCUAAAAUUCCUAUCUUGCACUGAUUUGGGUUGAAUCCGACGAACAUAAUGAGGAAUUAUUUCAAAUGUUAAAAGAUAAUAAUGUGCCUUCGUAUGGAAUAGUACAAUAGGAACCGCACUUGGAGAGCGGCCAAUAUUAUUCUCUUAUGAGAGUUUUUUAUUGAGGCCAUAUUGUUCAAGAUGACAUGGUACUAGCUAGCCAAGGAGGAGCUUGAAGACAUUUUAUUUUUGCUGCUUCUUUAUUUUUUUAUUUUUUGGGCAUUUCAUGUGUAUGGACGAUACCUAUAUGUUCUGAAUUUUAAUAAAAAGUUCGUUGAUCUUUUUGUUUGAUAAGAGA